rnacentral:rRNA from 1 species
GACGAACGCUGGCGGCGUGCUUAACACAUGCAAGUCGAACGGAAAGGCCUGCUUUCCCUUGUGGAUUGCGGGUACUCGAGUGGCGAACGGGUGAGUAACACGUGAGUGAUCUGCCCCCAACUUGGGUAUAAGCCUGGGAAACUGGGUCUAAUUCCCGAUAGGACUGCAGGGUGGUGCCUGUGGUGGAAAACGAUUUUCUAGUGGUUGGGGAUGAGCUCGCGGCCUAUCAGCUUGUUGGUGGGGUAAUGGCCUACCAAGGCGGCGACGGGUAGCCGGCCUGGGAGGGGGGACGGCCACAUUGGGACUGGGAUACGGCCCAGACUCCUACGGGAGGCAGCAGUGGGGAAUAUUGCACAAUGGGCGGAAGCCUGAUGCAGCGACGCCGCGUGGGGGAUGACGGCCUUCGGGUUGUAAACUCCUUUCGACCGCGAGGAAGCCACCUGGUUGGAAGGGUGGCGACGGUAGUGGUAGAAGAAGCACCGGCUAACUACGUG